rnacentral:rRNA from 1 species
UACGGAGGAUGCAAGCGUUAUCCGGAAUGAUUGGGCGUAAAGCGUCCGCAGGUGGCAAUGUAAGUCUGCUGUCAAAGCGUCUGGCUCAACCAGAUAAAGGCAGUGGAAACUACAUAGCUAGAGUAAGGUAGGGGUAGAGGGAAUUCCUGGUGUAGCGGUGAAAUGCGUAGAGAUCAGGAAGAACACCGGUGGCGAAAGCACUCUGCUGGGCCGACACUGACACUGAGAGACGAAAGCUAGGGGAGCGAAUGGG